CAGUCGCCGCGGUAAUACAGAGGGUGCGAGCGUUAAUCGGAUUUACUGGGCGUAAAGCGUGCGUAGGCGGCUUUUUAAGUCGGAUGUGAAAUCCCUGAGCUUAACUUAGGAAUUGCAUUCGAUACUGGGAAGCUAGAGUAUGGGAGAGGAUGGUAGAAUUCCAGGUGUAGCGGUGAAAUGCGUAGAGAUCUGGAGGAAUACCGAUGGCGAAGGCAGCCAUCUGGCCUAAUACUGACGCUGAGGUACGAAAGCAUGGGGAGCAAACAGGAUUAGAUACCCCUGUAGUCCCCUGUCUCUUAUA
rnacentral:rRNA from 1 species